rnacentral:rRNA from 1 species
GACAGCAGUCGCCGCGGUAAUACGAAGGGUGCAAGCGUUACUCGGAAUUACUGGGCGUAAAGCGUGCGUAGGUGGUGGUUUAAGUCCGUUGUGAAAGCCCUGGGCUCAACCUGGGAAUUGCAGUGGAUACUGGGUCACUAGAGUGUGGUAGAGGAUAGUGGAAUUUCCGGUGUAGCAGUGAAAUGCGUAGAGAUCGGAAGGAACAUCUGUGGCGAAGGCGACUAUCUGGGCCAACACUGACACUGAGGCACGAAAGCGUGGGGAGCAAACAGGAUUAGAUACCCGGGUAGUCCCUGUCUCUUAUAC